ACGAGCUUCGAGGACAAUCAAAAGCCUCAGAGGAUCAUAAAUGGUCAACAGCUGCUAUAAAAUUAUCUGAACAGAUGAAGUACAAAGGUGAACGUAGGAAUAACCUUGACCUUUCAAAGAGCUCUGCUGAAAUUAGGCCCAGGGGUAAUCAUAUGUUUCAGGAAGAUAACAAGUGGGAAAGCCUUAACUUCAAUAUGUUAAAUUUGGAAAGCAAGAUGACUGAAAAUAUGAGCAAGAAUCGCAUUAUGGAUAGCAUUUUCAAUGCAAAUCCAGUUUAUCUUAAGCCCAAUUUUAACAGCUUGGGAAAUUCAUCUUUAAGCAAGUUCAAUGCUAGCAACUAUACCAAGGAACCUAGCAAGAAUAACAAUAACAACGUUGAGAGCACAAAUGGAAAUAACUCCGUUGACAAAAGGUUUAAGACUCUGCCUGCUGCUGAAACACUGCCGAAGAAUGAGGUUCUUGGUGGAUAUAUAUUUGUUUGUAACAAUGACACAAUGCAGGAAGACCUAAAGCGCCUGCUCUUUGGCCUUCCUCCUAGAUACAGAGAUUCCGUGAGGGCAAUAACACCAGGGUUGCCCUUGUUCCUAUAUAA
rnacentral:misc_RNA from 1 species